CAGUCGCCGCGGUAAUACGAAGGGGGCUAGCGUUGUUCGGAAUUACUGGGCGUAAAGCGCACGUAGGUGGAUUUUUAAGUCAGGGGUGAAAUCCCGAGGCUCAACCUCGGAACUGCCUUUGAUACUGGAGAUCUUGAGUUCGGAAGAGGUUGGUGGAACAGCUAGUGUAGAGGUGAAAUUCGUAGAUAUUAGCUAGAACACCAGUGGCGAAGGCGGCCAACUGGUCCGAUACUGACGCUGAGGUGCGAAAGCGUGGGGAGCAAACAGGAUUAGAGACCCCCGUAGUCCCUGUCUCUUAUAC
rnacentral:rRNA from 1 species